AAAUGAUAUCUACCGUAACAUUAUGUAGCUUAGCUGUACUUGUAGCAGCUUUUCGGCAGCAGUCAGUGGGUCGGUGAUGGCUGACUUGUGGUGUUCCUGUUGUGCUUGUUCUUUUAUUGCCCUGGGAAAAGGGCAGAAACAUCUGCACUUAAGAGAAAACAAACAUCAGCGCUGGAUCAGGGAGACCAUUGAAAUCCCCAAGGGGGGGUUAAAGACCAUCAACAGGGAUGAAUGGGCUUACAUGCUCUCUACUACCUGGACCAGCAUCCUGGGAGAGUGAAUGGUCAGCAGAUCCCAGCAUCAGUGACACUCUGAUGAAGGCGGAAGUAGUCGCCGAAACAUGUUAGGAACCUUUUGUUGACUUGAUAUGGUGACCUUGGAACGAGUCUGCCUCCUCGCCUGAGUCUGUUUCACCUUGCCGUUUGAUCACUGUCGACCUGAUUAAAUUGUCAACUUGUGCUUCGAAGCCUUUUUCAAGCUUUCAAAAUGGAGUCAGUACAAGGGUUAAGACUUAGGUGAACCGAGUUUGGCCUUUUGGACGGGUUGUCAGUGUCUCCCGGGCCCGGGUUGUUGCAUCUGUGCCAGCGUGGGUCCGGCGGUUCGGCUGGCGUGAUUCCGGCAAUCUGGCUAAAAUGUCAGAUUCCUUCACUUUUGUUUUUGUUUUUUGUUUUUUUUUGGUUUGUUUCCUUUUCACCCCUCCGGUGCAAUUGAUAAACCCUGUGCAACAAUACCGUAAUUGAGCACUAGAGGCAGCAACACGAGUACAAGGAAGAUU